rfam:Drosophila melanogaster, chromosome 2L, region 31C-31D, BAC clone BACR30M19, complete sequence.
CAUUCAACUUAUGAGGAUUAUUUCUUAAAGGCCUCUGGCUCGGAAAUAGUCUGAACCUUAUUG